AACUUUUGGCAAUGGAUCUCUAGGCUCUUGCAGCGAUGAAGAACGCAGUAAAGUGCGAAAAGUGAUGCGAUUUGCAUGAAUCUGUGAGUCAUCUAGUUUUUGAACGCAAAUGGCACUCUUGUGUAAGCAGGAGUAUGUCUGUUUGAGAAUCCCAAAACCGAUCAACACCUGUGGGGGUUGGCAAUGGCGUUCCGUGCUGUCAUCAUGUGCGGUCUGCUUGAAUGCAUUCAGGUUGAUGAGCUCCGACUGAGCGUCAAAUGUGCUAAAAGACUGUGGUCUUUCGUCAUUUGGGUGCGCAGUUGCAAGGCUCUAGUACACAGCCUUUAAAUCAAUCUAUCUAAUAGGAUCUCAAAUCAGGCAAGAUUACCCGCUGAACUUAAGCAUAUCAAUAAGCGGAGGCU
rnacentral:misc_RNA from 1 species